rfam:Schistosoma haematobium scaffold210_8, whole genome shotgun sequence.
AUCUAAUUGACGAGUCCUAAAUAGGGAGAAACGCGUGUGCUGGAU